rnacentral:tRNA from 1 species
CGCAGGGUAGAGAAGCCCGGUUAACUCGCAAGGCUCAUAACCUUGAGAUCGCCAGUUCAAAUCUGGCCCCUGCAACCA